AUUGAACGCUGGCGGCAGGCUUAACACAUGCAAGUCGAGCGAGCGGCGGACGGGUGAGUAAUGUCUGGGACACUGCCUGAUGGCGGGGGAUAACUACUGGAAACGGUAGCUAAUACCGCAUACCAUCAGCUGAACCCAUAUGGGAUUAGCUUGUAGGUGAGGUAACGGCUCACCUAGGCGACGAUCCCUAGCUGGUCUCAGAGGAUGAUCAGCCACACUGGGACUGAGACACGGCCCAGACUCCUACGGGAGGCAGCAGUAGGGAAUAUUGCGCAAUGGGCGCAAGCCUGAUGCAGCCAUGCCGCGUGUAUGAAGAAGGCCUUCGGGUUGUAAAGUCCUUUCAGUCGGGAGGCGUUACCGACAGAAGAAGCCCCGGCUAACUCCGUGCCAGCAGCCGCGGUAAUUC
rnacentral:rRNA from 1 species